rnacentral:tmRNA from 1 species
GGGCUAGACAGGAUUCGAUUGGUAACAGAGUAAUAUGAGUGCAAGUAGGUUGGAACACCUUUAACAUUCCAAAUAAUAUAGACGCAGAAGAGAAAUCUUCAUUUACUUUCGCAGAUGCACUUGCUUUCGUAGGUGCUUCUGAAGAAGUAGUUCUUGCUUAAUUAAAGCACAGAACCACUGGUUGCUCACAAUACCAGUGAACGGAGCAAGGUGAGCAAACCACCCACUUGGUUAUGUGGCGCCCAUCAGGUAUCAUGGCAGCGACAAUGCAAAAAGAGCCCGAGCCUCUUGUUAGUUUUCAGCUCGUAAAAACUAUUGAAUGCAAACUAACUAAACUUGUAAAUGACUGAUAUUAUGAUUUUAUCAAGACCUGGGUUCAAAUCCCAGCUAGUCCAC